rnacentral:rRNA from 1 species
GGGUCAGUAGGCUGGUCGUGCCACCGGUACGUACUGGUCUCACUGAUUCCUCCUUCCUGAAGAACCGUAAUGCCAUUAAUUUGGUGUUACGUGGAAACAGGACUGUUACUUUGAAAAAAUUAGAGUGUUUUAAGCAAGCUAACGCUUGAAUACAUUAGCAUGGAAUAAUGAAAUAGGACGAUCGAUCCUAUUUUGUUGGUUUCUAGGAUUGACGUA